rnacentral:rRNA from 1 species
UACGUAGGGGGCAAGCGUUUGUCCGGAAUUAUUGGGCGUAAAGAGCUCGUAGGCGGUUUGUCGCGUCUGCUGUGAAAUCCCGAGGCUCAACCUCGGGUCUGCAGUGGGUACGGGCAGACUGGAGUGCGGUAGGGGAGAACGGAAUUCCUGGUGUAGCGGUGAAAUGCGCAGAUAUCAGGAGGAACACCGGUGGCGAAGGCGGUUCCCUGGGCUGACACUGACGCUGAGGCGCGAAAGCCAGGGGAGCGAACGGG